GAACCUGCGGAAGGAUCAUUACUGGGAGAGGGGCCUCGUGCUCCCGGGGGUUUCGGCCCCCAACUCUUCACCCAUUGUCUACCUACCUUUGUUGCUUUGGCGGGCCAUGGGGCACGUCCCGCGCCGGCUUUCGUGCAGGCGAGCGCCCGUCAGAGGCUUAUCAAACUCUAUUAAUUAGUGAUGUCCGAGCCAAAAAUACAAUAGUAAAAACUUUCAACAACGGAUCUCUUGGUUCCAGCAUCGAUGAAGAACGCAGCGAAAUGCGAUAACUAAUGUAAUUGCAGAAUUCAGUGAAUCAUCGAGUCUUUGAACGCACAUUGCGCCCCUCGGUAUUCCGGGGGGCAUGCCUGUUCGAGCGUCAUUACACCCUUCAAGCCUAGCUUGGUAUUGGGCCCUCGCCCCCGUGGCGUGCCCGAAAAUCAGUGGCGGUCCGUUGCGACUUUAAGCGUAGUAAAUUUUCAUCCCGCUUUGAAAGUUAGCGCCGUGACCGGCCAGACAACCCCAUAUAUUUUAUAAUUGACCUCGGAUCAGGUAGGGAUACCCGCUGAACUUAAGC
rnacentral:rRNA from 1 species